rnacentral:lncRNA from 1 species
ACCAAAAUAAUUCAAGAAAGCUUAUAUUACAAUAGAGUGAAAAAUAAAAAUAAAGCCACAGCUAGCAGCUCAGUCCACAAUAGAAAAGGAUUCUACCCAACAAUGCAUAAUCUGUUAAACAAGAUCCAAAACAACAAGUUGAGAAGCUUAGUUGGCUUCCAUAACAAUGCAUCGACGCUUUCCUAACUGCAUAGAGAGAAAACGAGAGAGGCGGCUAAGGAAAAAAACACCAGAUCUGAAGUUCUCCCGUAAAAUAAGGAUUAGUGCCAGCAAAGCUAAAAGCCACCGAGUAAAAACUAGAGACACAAAGCAGAGUAUGAGGACAGGCGGAUUUGAGUCAAGAUGGCAUACAUAACUUUUUGAUAUUUAUGGUCUUUAGACUGAGUGGCUAACGAGUCCACCGAUAACAUUUUCAAGAAACAUACGGCAUGGAAAAGAGAACCCAUUUUCCCUACAAAAUU